CUAACACAUGCAAGUCGCACGAGAAAGGGCUUCCGCCCCGGUACAGUGGCGCACGGGUGAGUAACACGUGGGCAACCUUCCCGAACGUGGUGGAUAACCUUCCGAAAGGAGGGCUAAUACAGCAUAAGACCACGGCACUCCGGUGCUGGGGUUAAAGCCGGCUGAGGUACACAAGCUGGCGCGUUCGGAUGGGCCCGCGGCCCAUCACCUAGUUGGCGAGGUAACGGCUCACCAAGGCGAUGACAGGUAGCUGGUCUGAGAGGAUGGCCAGCCACACUGGAACUGAGACACGGUCCAGACUCCUACGGGAGGCAGCAGUGGGGAAUCUUGCGCAAUGGACGAAAGUCUGACGCAGUGACGCCGCGUGGGCGAUGAAGGCCUUUGGGUUGUAAAGCCCUGUGGGGCGGGAAGAACACUUUCCGGGUGAACAAUCCGGGGAGCUGACGGUACCGCCUUAGCAAGCAUCGGCUAACUCUGUGCCAGCAGCCGCGGUAAGACAGAGGAUGCAAACGUUGCUCGGAAUUACUGGGCGUAAAGCGCGUGUAGGCGGUUCCGCGAGUCGGGUGUGAAAGCCCGGGGCUCAACCCCGGAAGGGCACUCGAUACUACGGAGCUGGAGUACUGAAGAGGAGACCGGAAUUCCCGGUGUAGAGGUGAAAUUUGUAGAUAUCGGGAGGGACACCAGUGGUGAAGGCGGCUCUCUGGGCAGAUACUGACGUUGAGACGCGAAAGCGUGGGGAGCAAACAGGAUUAGAUACCCUGGUAGUCCUUGCUGUAAACGAUGAGAAUCUGGGUGUUGCGGGUAUUGACCCCCGCGGUGCCGAAGCCAACGCGUUAAG
rnacentral:rRNA from 1 species